rnacentral:rRNA from 1 species
AUUGAACGCUGGCGGCAGGCCUAACACAUGCAAGUCGAACGAGGGGCGGACGGGAGAGAAAUGUCUGGGAAACUGCCCGAUGGAGGGGGAUAACUACUGGAAACGGUAGCUAAUACCGCAUACCAUCGGAUGUGCACAGAUGGGAUUGGCUAGUAGGAGGGGUAAAGGCUCACCUAGGCGACGAUCCCUAGCUGGUCUGAGAGGAUGACCAGCCACACUGGACCGGGAACACGGUCCAGACCCCUACGGAGGGCGGCGGUGGGGAAUAUUGCACAAUGGGCGCAAGCCUGAUGCAGCUAUGCCGCGUGUAUGAAGAAGGCCUUCGGGUUGUAAAGUCCUUUCAGCGGGGAGGCGUUACCCGCAGAAGAAGCGCCGGCUAACUCCGUGCCAGCAGCCGCGGUAAUAC